rnacentral:rRNA from 1 species
UACGAAGGGGGCUAGCGUUGUUCGGAAUUACUGGGCGUAAAGGGCGCGUAGGCGGCGUGUCAAGUCAGGCGUGAAAGCCCCGGGCUCAACCUGGGAACCGCGCUUGAGACUGGCAUGCUCGAGUUCGGGAGAGGAUGGUGGAAUUCCCAGUGUAGAGGUGAAAUGCGUAGAUAUCAGGAGGAACGCCGGCGGCGAAGGCGACUCUCUGGCCUGUAACUGACGCUGAGGCGCGAAAGCUAGGGGAGCAAACGGG